rfam:Colletotrichum orbiculare MAFF 240422 contig04036, whole genome shotgun sequence.
GUCUCAUUAGCUCAAUGGUAGAGCAGAAUACUUCUAAUAUUCUGAUUCUAGUUCGAAUCUGGAAUGAGAUU